rnacentral:rRNA from 1 species
UACGUAGGGGGCAAGCGUUGUCCGGAUUUAUUGGGCGUAAAGAGCGUGUAGGCGGCCUGGAAGGUCAGCUGUGAAAACUCGAGGCUCAACCUCGAGACGUCGGUUGAAACCACCUGGCUAGAGUCCGGAAGAGGAGAGCGGAAUUCCUGGUGUAGCGGUGAAAUGCGCAGAUAUCAGGAAGAACACCCGUGGCGAAGGCGGCUCUCUGGGACGGUACUGACGCUGAGACGCGAAAGCGUGGGGAGCGAACAGG